UUAUAGAUCCGUAUAUAAGUAACGGGAAGCAUAGAAACAGAAAUAGAAAUUCAAAAAGAGAUAGGAGAAGAAUCUAGUUGAUCAUUCAUUCGUAACGUUUUCUCGUUAAAACAGAGACGAGCAUACUUCCGAUACUCCCAAUUCGUGCAGGUUUAUUGCAAGAAACACCAGUCAAUAAUCUAACCUACAAGAUCUAAUAUCACAGUCAAUAUUAAAACAAUUUACUUGUUCGUCACCUCUGAAGGUCCGAGAAUUGUCCUGAAAAAUCAUAUAUCUUUGAAGCAUCAACAUGUGAUGGUCACCUGUGAAAAAGGAGGAUGCCAUCGACUAUCAUACCUGGAUAUAUUGCACCUAUCCCUACUAUCAUUUAUAUUAUGUACUCUUCUGAACAACUAUAAUUUGAGAGAUACGUGUUCGUUUAUCUUUGAAUUUAUCUUUUACAAUAUUGGAGAAAUUGAGUCUUGCUACUAAUCUUUUAAACUUCUGAGAUUUUUUCCCAUAUGUCUAUACUAUCACCGUAGAAAGGAAUCUGAAGGUGUAGCUCGUUUUACAUGUUUAGCGACGAAAUUAUACGAGACACAUCGAUUAAACACGAUGAAGAUUCGCUUAAGAGCAUCUCUCGAAUAUCCUAAAAUAAUCUUUGCUUGACGAUAGUUUUUCAGUCGACCGUGAUCUAUAGAAUAUUUUCACCAAAAUUAUACUUUCAAAACUGAGUCCUAAAGCCUAAAUCUUUCCCUUCCCGUUCAAUUAUUAUGAUACAUCAAAAACAGAUGUAUAACAUGCUUGCAAAUAUUACUUAAGUCAAACUAUGCAUUAAGUUAAUUUCUAUCACAAACUAGUCCUACUAACUAAAUGUAACUUCAAUAAAAAUCAUAUAUAUAUA